GAUGAAGAACGCAGCGAAAUGCGAUAAGUAAUGCGAAUUGCAGAUCUCCGUGAGUCAUUGAAUCUUUGAACGCACAUUGCGCCCUCGGGUAUUCCCGAGGGCAUGCCUGUCCGAGCGUCAUUAUCCAACCAUCAAGCUCGGCUUGCGGUUGAGCCCCGCACCGUCCCCGGGACGGUGGGCUCGAAACAUGUUGGGCGCCCGUGAGGUUGUCGGUGCAGCGAGCUCUCGAGCACGUGCCGGGCAACAGCUCUGGGCGUCGGCCAGCCCCCCCAUUUUCUCAGGUUGACCUCGGAUCAGGUAGGAAUACCCGCUGAACUUAAGCAUAUCAAUAAGCGGAGGA
rnacentral:misc_RNA from 1 species